CUUCCCCACCCCCCACUCGUCCUGAGCAAGUUACUGCAGACGCUGCAAUCUGUCCUCAGCGAAGGGAGCCAGAGGAAGCUAUUGCUUGGAGUCUAGAUGACUUCAUCUGAGCUGACGUGAGGUUGUGGGGAGGCAAGGAUGCACAGAAACAAAACUCAAACCAAAUAUAAUGGUACAGGCACUCAGGACCUGGAAAUCAUCCAUCUGGAAAUGUGAAAGGAGGAAUGUUUGUCCACUCUCAAUCUGGAAAAACACCAAACAUACAAGCCUGUUACACUGCACAGUGGUUAGAGCUUUAGGCAGUUAUACAAUCUGAAACACAUCACACCAGGAAGGAAUUGUACAUGUGCUGUCUGUCUGGGGCAGGCUUCCAACUUAACAUCCAUACCGGCAACAUGGAAAAAAUUGGAAAUGAGAGGUGUUCAAAUGCCCCUCUAAGUUGGAAACUCAUCAACGCAGUCACGCUGGUCUGACGAUCCUACAAACGUCCAGACGUGAGUAUUAACAACGCUGGAUGUGUAAGCCUAGGGCAAACCUACACUACCGGCUUCCUGCAGGCCCCACGAGGAUACCUGGAACCAAGGCCCAAACCCUGAGCCUGCAGCAACCUGACUCCGCAGUGACCCGACCCAACUCGGAAUGAAACCCGCCCCCACAGUGACAAGUCCAACGAGGCCCAUUCAGCCCAGGACUGAACUCUGAACCCACUUCGACACAACCCCAAGGGGAUCCGACCAACACAGGGCUGAACUCCAAUCCCACGGCUACUCAAGCGCGAGGAGGCAGACCUGUCCGACCUCAUGACGACUCAUCCAGACUUACCUACCAGAACAGUAUACUCACACCACCAACACCGAGCACCGCCCAGAAGCAGGAAACCUACCAGAAAACAGGGAAGAUAUGCAGGGCUGUAGCUGAGACCGAAACAACACUGUUUCAAGUACACCCCCCAAACCUGCCCCAUCCCCAGCAUACUCCUGGCAAGCUGUUGAAAAGAAAAUGACCAGACCUAGACUCAACUUCCAAAGAUAACUGAGAGACAGCUGUGUCCUCUGUUUUAUGGAGACGUGGGUCACUCCUGCUAUACCUGACUGUGCCUCGCAAGCUGAGGGGUUCUACAUGCAUUGCAAUGGGUGAUGGGUCUGCCUCAAUCAACACUUUCUGAUGCUCAGACAUAGCAACCCUAGAAUACUUCACAGUGAAAUGCCAUCCCUCAUAUGUACUACACAAGUUCACGUCCACCACCCUGCCACCUGUGUACAUGGUGAAGAAUGCUUUGGAUGAAAUUUACGCUGGGACAAAUAUUCUGGAGACAAAAUUCCCUGAGGCCCUAUUAAUCGUGGCUGGAGACUUCAACUAAGCCAACCUCAAGAUGGUUCUACCAAAAUACCACUAGUAAAUCUCCUGCCCCAGACAACUCAAUAUCCUUGAUCACUGAAACACAACCAAAGACGUCUACUGCUCCAUACCCCAUCCGCACUUUGGAAAAUCAGAUCACAAUGCUAUGUUCCAUCUCCCAGUUUACUAGCCCCAGUUGAAAGGGGAGGAACCUUCACAGAAAGUAAUUCAAUGCUCAUCUGAGGCAAUAGAAGAGCUGAUACAGGACUGUUUGGAAUUGGUGGACUGGACCAUAUUCAAGGAGUCAGCAGACAACCUAGACAAGUAUACCACCACCGUCACAGACUUCAUUAGCAGGUACAUGGAGAACUAGGUGCCAAAGACGACAACAGUGUGUUCCCCAACAGGAAACUAUGGAUGAACCAGGAAAUCCACUGCCUACUGAAGCCCAGGCACGCAGCAUUGAAGUUGGAUGACCCACACCUAUACAGGAAAUCUAGAUAGGACCUCUGCAAAGCCAUUAAGAGAUGCUAAGAGGUCGUACUGGACCAAAUUAAAGACCCAAACUAACUAUACGGACACCCGCUGCCUGUGGCAAAGCCUACGUAACAGGACACAAAAUGAAGCAGAACAAAAUAACAGACAAAACACAUCCCUCCUGACCCACUCAAUGCUUUCUAUGCUUGGUUCGAGCAGAACGCCAGUGGGCAUGGUGGCACCUGCCCCAACAGCCCCAGGCGCAUCACCACUACAAGUGCCAGAUCACUCUUCUUGAAUGUAAACUGAGGAUGGAGUCCCCAGCUGUGCACUCAGAUCCUGUAUGGACCAGCUGGCUGAAGUAUUCACUGACAUCUUCAACCUCUCCUUGCUACAAUCUGAAGACCUGACCUGUUUCAAGGAGACCACCCUCAUCCCGGUACCAAAGAAUGGGGUGGCACUGUGGCUCAGUGGUUAGCACUGCUGCCUCACGGCGCCAGGGAUCCGGCUUCGAAUCCAACCUCAGGGGAACUGUCUGUUUGGAGGUUGCACAUUCUCCCCGUAACUGCGUUGGUUUCCUCCCACAAUCCAAAGAUGUGCAGA